GCCGGGUUUUUUUGCCAGUCUUUACAGUGGGUCUCGACGAGCGGCGCAGUGAACAUGAGCGUCAGUCCGCGGGGUGUGCAGGAGGAGAGCACAGGUGCACACGAGCGGUGCAUGUGAGUGAGGGCCAGCACGCACGGCCGUACACACACGUCUACCAGGAGAGCAGCAGGCCAGGCAGGCAGGCACCACGCCGGCCGGUUGUGCUACCAGCCAGCCAGGCACACACGCAGGCAGGCAGGCAGGCAGGGACUCUGCAAGCAAGAGGAAUAUAUUGGAGGCACCGAAGUGUCCUGUCACUGUGCCUCGCCCGAGUGCCAGACGGGGAAGCCAGCGAGCCGACGACUUCCACAAGACGUCUCGGCUCCUUGUCAGAGUUUGCCUACAUCUUCAAGAAGAUUUUGUGCUUCAGGUGUCUCCUGCCUCGUGCACGGAGCUCCUGCAUGCUUCCCAGUGCCGCCCGGUGUGACCCUGUGUGACCCUCUGUGGCACUCUCCUCUCCGUGAACCCGUUUCAUCACCCGACAUGCACACGAGGGUGACAGCGGCGUGAAAGUCGGCAGCUGGACGGCUCCCUCUCCCUCCCCCGGCCGAGCGCCGCGUAUAACCCUGCAAACCGUAUUUACAGCAGGUGUUGGCCCUCGGGCUAGGUUAGGAGGAGGCUGGGUCACCCGACCUAUGUGAAACAUGUGACCUGACGAGUGCUCCAGGAAAUACGGAAACGAGAAAGACGCCACGGAUACGGAGCCGAACCGCGACGAAACGAAAACAAAUUCAGAAUCAAAGGAAAGACUGAAAUUUCUCACUCGAAAAACAAGGUGCAAAACUUAUCAAGUAUUCUCAUUUUGAGAAAAAAAGAAUUUUGCUGAUCCGCUGUCAUUUCCCUUCCUUGACUCUCGUGUUUCGGGGAAAAGUAGGGAGUUUAGCGCGUGCUGAGUGGAAGUGUUUUUUCUGUAAUAUGCAAAUAGUGAUUGACACACACAAGACGACACGCAACUGAGGUUCCAACCGAUGAAAUAAAAAAGGAACAAACGAACCGUAACCAAAAGUCGAAAUUAGUGUAUAUCGCUCCGGGUUUUUCCCAAAAUGUUACUGGCGACGGUUGUGACUGGAAGUGUGGUUGGAUAAUGAAGCUGUGAACGUUGCCGAGAGCGGUCGAUGGUGUUAAUGGUGAUGACAUUGAUGAUGAUGACAGUGAUGACAGCGCACCACUGAUGUCACUAUGCACACCAACCACGGCUGAGGUGGUAUGCCAGCUGGGUCAGGAUCCUGCAUUACAGUUGGUGUUGGUGCAGGGGUGAGUCGUCCAAACCAGGUCGGGGCCGCCCACAAGGCAGUUGCCGCCCGCCCUCACGCCCACUUUUGUCCCCGCUCAACAUGUGACGCCCCAGCUUCUCCAUGCUGCUCGUCCCGCCCAUCUCGCGCGCCCACUCCGCUGAGCCCCUGGUGCCGCCCCCAGCAGAGAGCAACCGGUCUCCCGCCCGCACCGCCCAAGCUCAGUCUCUGGCGCCCAUCAAGGCAGAGCCGCCUCAUCUGCUCAACUACACAUCGUCGCCAGCGCUCGCUGACAGCUACGUACGCCCACACAUGUCCGGCCUGAGCGACGCCCAGUACCCGCCCGCGUCAACCGCCACCCACUCGGCGCCCAGCACGCCCGCGCCGCCCUCUACGCCCACCCCGCGCCCCCCGUGUCCGCCUCCUCCGAUCGGUCGGCGUCCGGCGGGUCGGCCAGCGGCGGCUCGCUUCCCUUGAGCCACCCCCGACGGUGGGCGGCCCGCCCCCAGCCGGAGGCCUCCCCAUCGUCCCCCCCACCACCAACCCGUCGUCGGGCGUGGGCGUGAGCGUGACCUCGGGCACUGUGACCCCCGCCAUGCCCGUGCCAGGCCCGUCGCAGGCCCCCCAGAGCUCCCAGCAGCAGCCGCCGCUCCACCACCCGCUCCUGGGCUACAUCCCGCACGGCACCAAGAUCCUCUCGCGCAACCUCAACGGCACGCGGCUCAACUACCCACCCAUCAGCCAAUCAGAACGCAGAGCUGAACCCCAAAGACGCAGUCAGGAUUUCGGACCGCCAA